UACAGAGGUCUCAAGCGUUGUUCGGAUUCAUUGGGCGUAAAGGGUGUGUAGGUGGCGCCGUUAGUCGGGUGUGAAAUUUCGGAGCUUAACUCCGAAACUGCAUUCGAUACUGCCGUGCUUGAGGACUGGAGAGGAGACUGGAAUUUACGGUGUAGCGGUGAAAUGCGUAGAUAUCGUAAGGAAGACCAGUGGCGAAGGCGGGUCUCUGGACAGUUCCUGACGCUGAGGCACGAAGGCCCAGGGGAGCAAACGGGG
rnacentral:rRNA from 1 species